GAAGAUCAAGAACAACCUACAAAACCCACAGCUUUGCCUUCAAAACCCAGUUCUUCCUCUUCCUCUCUGUUUUCUUCUCUACCCAAAUCCAAUUAAAAGGGUGACAUUUUGAGCUAUUUCCCUAUAAUGGAAUCGUGCAAGGCCCCCAAAUCCACCCCCUUUUGACUUAAAACAACAAAUCCACAAACCCUAACCAGUGAGAGAGGGAGCUAUUUCAAUGGCGAUACAGACCUCGAGCUCGAGCAAAAGACAUGCUUUAGGUGAAACGACUCAAAGCACUUCUUUGGGCAUUUGGGGACCUGUAAAGACAUGUAUUCAGAGCCAAGCUUAUCUUUGUGCAAUUCAGGUUAUGUUCUAUCUGAAGGCUUGAAAGAUUGAAUAGAAUAUGGGAAGCAAAAUUACAUGCAAUCCAAAUUUCCAUAGUCGUGGUAUGUUUGAGGGACGCAUACAAGAAGGUUUGUCUAGUGGUGGUAUGUCUUAAGUCUUGUAUAAUUGAAUUCAGUAUUUUUUGUAGGGUGAUAUAUACUUGCCUUGAUUCAUUGAUGGAUUAUGGAAGUUAGACAUGAUAGCAAAAUGGCCUACCAUUUAGUAGUUUUUUAUAAGGCCUAACAUUUAUGUCGAAAAUUUUCUAUGGUUCAUUGGAUGGAUUAUGGAAGUUAGACGUUAUAGCAAAAGGGUUUAUCAGUUUCCAUCUAAUGUUUUUGUUAAUUUAGUACAAGGGUGGUUGGAUGCACAUCUCAGAGGUAGCAAAUCCAGUUUUAGCUCUUACAUUAAUGGCAGCACUGCGAAUUUCCAAGAAGGAUUUAGCAUGUCAGUAGAUAAAAGGGAUUUUACCUUUACAAAGGAGCUGCAUGAGAAACUCGCACUAAAUUUCUUUCCCAUCCGAUCUUGUCUGCUGAACAGAUUGGGGAAUGUUUAUGUAUCCAAUUAAAUAAUUUGGACAAGAUUUUAAUGAUGUUUUCAUGUAAUGUGUGUGUAUGUAUGUUUUUAAGACAAAGGAAAUUUAAUACAUAUGCAGAUAAUUUAAUGCC